CCCCCAAUCCAAAGCUCUCAGUCCCAACCUCUCACAGUCGCGCUCUCCUCUCACCGUCGCGCUCUCCUCUCUGCAGUGGCGCACGACCCUCGCACCACAGCCUGAACGACUCUCGCACACAGCGCACGACCCUCCUCCCUCGCACCCAGCAGUAGCAGAGCCCAACCCUCGCAACCUCGCACCCAGCAGUAGCAGAGCCACAACCCUCGCCAAUCGCCACCCACAACACAGCACCCACCAGUCACCGAUUCAAGUCUCCCACCCAGCCACCGAUUCAAGUCAGAUAUGGAGCCCGAGCCACCGAGUCAGUUUGAUGUCAGAUAGAAAGAUAUUGAAAUCAGAUUUGGAGCAGAUUUGAAGAAUUAAAUUUGGAGCAGAUUUGAAAUCAGUGUAUUGUUGCUGAUUGCUGGUUAAAUUACUUUUGUUGAAUUACUUUAUUGUUGGUAUUGUUGCUAGUUGCUAGUAUUGUUGCUGAUUGUUGCUGGUUUUUAAUUUAUUUGUUGUUGUGUUUUUGCUGAUUUUUAUUUUUGCUGAUUGUUGCUCUUGUUUUUAAUUUAUUUGAGUCUAAUUGAGUACAUCUUGUUAUGGUAUGAAUUGCUAGUUGCUGGUAUUUGACAAGUAUGGAGCUUUCAGGAUCUUUGUCUCCUUUUGUUGCCAAUAUGACAGCUCUGACUAGGAAACAUGCAAUGAGUUGACACUGUACUUGGUCAAUGCUUCAGUGUGGUGUCUAGAUGAAGGUGCCAAGAUCCUCGAGUGUCAGAAGGAAAAGGGCCAGCUUGUGUUUCCCAUAUUCUUCUACAAAUAGAGCCAUCGGAUGUACGGCGUCAGAGAAAUAGUUAUAAACUUGCCAUGGCUGUUACUCUGAGAAGUGCAGAGGUGUUACAUACAUAGAUUAAAUGAACCAAUAUGUAUUAGAGACUCUGAGAAGCAUAUAUAGACUCUGACAUAGAUUAAGUGGGCAGUAAAUUUUGCUCAUAGAGACUGACAUAGAUUUGUUGAGACAAAUUUUGUAAAGAAUGCUCUUUCUUUUUGUUUUGAAGAUUGUCCAUUUUGCUCUCUUCCUUAUAUUAUUCCUUUGAAAGUGUAAAAAUUUUAGAUGAAUGAAAGAAAGUUAUUGCAUCUCA